rnacentral:lncRNA from 1 species
AUGAAGAAACUGAGGUCCAACGAGGUGAAGCCACUUGCCCAAGGAUUAGUUAGGUCAUUAUAUAGAGGAGAGAGGAGGGGGAGAAAGAGGAAGAUGAGGAAGAAGAGGAAGAGGAAGAGAAAGAAGAAGAGGAAGAAGAAAGAGGAGGAGGAGGAGGAGGAAGAAAGAAGGAGGAGAAGGAAGAAAGAAGGGAGGAGGAGGAGAGGAGAAGGAAGAAGGGCAGGGGAUGAAGAAGAAGAAGAGGAAAAGGAGCAUAUGGCAUGCCUAUAUCAGGAUAAUGAGGCCAUGGCAGUCAGAGAUCAUAGGACCCAGACAUUAAGUACAGAACACGUAGAGAAAACUUUUCAUUCCCUACAACAAAGAGAAGAAAUGCUUUAA